rnacentral:rRNA from 1 species
CACUUUGUCUGUAUGGCAAAUGUGAGAUGCAGUGUAUGGAAUGUCAAAUUUCUAGUAUGAGAAAUUAACGAUUUAAGUCCUUCUUAAAUGAGGCCAUUUACCCGUAGAGGGUGCCAGGCCCGUAUAACGUUAAUGAUUACUAGAUGGCAUUUCCAAAGAGUCGUGUUGCUUGAUAGUGCAGCACUAAGCUGGUGGUAAACUCCAUCUAAAACUAAAUAUAACCAUGAGACCGAUAGUAAACAAGUACCGUGAGGGAAAGUUGAAAAGAACUCUGAAUAGAGAGUUAAAUAGUACGUGAAACUGCUUAGAGGUUAAGCCCGAUGAACCUGAAUAUCCAAUUAUAGAAAAUUCAUCAUUAUGAUUAUAAUAUUUUAUAAUAUUAAAAUAAUGGUGUGCAUUUUUUCUAUAAAGGACAUUGUAAUCUAUUAACAUGAAAUUUAUCAUAAAAUCAAUAUGCGUAAGUUUAUUCGAAUUAUUUUGCUUGCAAUUUAACAUAGAAUAAAUGCUUUUGAUUUGAUAAAGUGUUGAUAGAUCUAUUAUAUAUAGUGCUUAAAUAUAUUAUAUUUUAUAAUAGCAUAAUUAUUAAUAAUUUUUAUGUUUAUUAUAUGCACUUAUAUGAUUAACAAUGCGAAAGAUUCAGGAUACCUUCGGGACCCGUCUUGAAACACGGACCAAGGAGUCUAACAUAUUUGCAAGUUAUUGGGAAUAAAAACCUAAUAGCGAAAUUAACAUAACUUUAAUUGGGAUUAGUUUUUAUUCUAUUUUUAUAUAGUUUAUUAAUUCAAUCCCGGGGCGUUCUAUAAGUUAUGUAUAAUAAUAUUUUAUAUUAUUUAUACCUCUAACUAGAGCGUACCUUGAGCAUAUAUGCUGUGACCCGAAAGAUGGUGAACUAUACUUGAUCAGGUUGAAGUCAGGGGAAACCCUGAUGGAAGACCGAAACAGUUCUGACGUGCAAAUCGAUUGUCAGAAUUGCAGUAUAG